GUCGGUGUCAUCGAAGGUCUCGCCACUAAUAUACACGCGGAUCGUACAUUUUAAGGAUCAUUAUAAUAAUAUUCAGACACGUUACAGUCACAGUAUGAAAGCUGGUUUUUUCUUAUGUACAAUGUACCGUAAUAUAUUAGCAUUAGAUGUAUAAAUCAUUUGUCGAAAGUACAUUUAUUAAUAUAAAAGAAACAAUACUAUCAAAGUAAUUAGUUGAAAUUGAUAGCAACCCUUUGCAUCCAUAUAUAAUCAUUAUAGUAGCUGUAAUUGUGUUACGUGCUUGAUACAAAUCAUAGCUAUAAGUACUGUCCAGCCCCUUAAAACUCUACUCUUGUGAAUUUUAUGCGGGUUUUAGUUCGUGCGCGGAUAUACUUGCAGCGCUGAUGUCGUUUUUUUACACGCAUCUCUUGUCAAUUUUGCACACUACUUAAGAUUUUGUGACAUCAUGUUCCUCUUAGAAUUUUUGUUAUGACUUCUUUAGUAGACCAACCGACUGAGUUUUCAGUGAAUUAAUUGAUUACAGUGGAAUUUUCUACAGUGAUCUACUGAUGUCAUAAAUAGUUAAAUACAUAAAAUACUUCUUAAAUCAUCCAAAGAGAUGACACGUAACAUUCAGGGAUGUCUACAAAGCAAAAGUUAUUGCAGAGUGCCAGUAUGACUUUGUGGAUUGCCUUCUUUUCUUAUAUUUGAUUCAAAUUUAAAUAACAAUGUAUUAAUGUAAUAAAUAUCAUUAUUUUCCUAAA